rnacentral:lncRNA from 1 species
GUUCCACCAGACCCCUUCAUUUUCUCGAGAAGCAUAUUAUAUGGAGUAACCACAAGGUCCUGCUGUAUAGUUCAGGCUGGCCCUGAACUCACUGUUUAGCCCAGGCUGGCCUCAAACUUGUGGCAGUCCUCCUACCUCAGCCUCUCAAGUGCUGGGAUCACAGGAAAAACACUGAAGAGUAAAGGAAGACCUGAUAAAAUUAUCUAUGUAUAAUGAGAAUCUGCUCCAAAUAUUUGUUUCUUUGAGGGAUUGAACUCGGGUCCUUGAGUUUUUGAGGGAGGCGGUGGAAUGACUGAGCUAAAUACCCAGCCCAGGUACCUUUCUUUUUGGCUUCCUUAUGAUCAUUUUUCUCAAGUGCUUAAUAGUCCUGAUUUGCACAUUAAUUCUCUUGCCUGGUAUCUUGUUGUUAACUUGCUUGUUUAGGACAGUGCCAGCAGUAUGCUGGGUAACAUUGUAGACUGUUCCAGUUUUGCCAUGGUAGCAUUUAUUUGGCACUACUUUUUUUUUUUUCUUUCUUGGUACCAG